AUUGAACGCUGGCGGCAUGCCUUACACAUGCAAGUCGAACGGUAACAGGUCUUCGGAUGCUGACGAGUGGCGAACGGGUGAGUAAUGCAUCGGAACGUGCCCAGUAGUGGGGGAUAGCCCGGCGAAAGCCGGAUUAAUACCGCAUACGACCUGAGGGUGAAAGGGGGGGAUCGCAAGACCUCUCGCUAUUGGAGCGGCCGAUGUCAGAUUAGCUAGUUGGUGGGGUAAAGGCCUACCAAGGCAACGAUCUGUAGUUGGUCUGAGAGGACGACCAGCCGCACUGGGACUGAGACACGGCCCUGACUCCUACGGGAGGCAGCAGUGGGGAAUUUUGGACAAUGGGCGCAAGCCUGAUCCAGCAAUGCCGCGUGCAGGAAGAAGGCCUUCGGGUUGUAAACUGCUUUUGUCAGGGAAGAAAUCUUCUGGGUUAAUACCUCGGGAGGAUGACGGUACCUGAAGAAUAAGCACCGGCUAACUACGUGCCAGCCGCCGCGGUAAAAC
rnacentral:rRNA from 1 species